rnacentral:rRNA from 1 species
CACUAUCAUUAACUGAAUCCAUAGGUUAAUGAGGCGAACCGGGGGAACUGAAACAUCUAAGUACCCCGAGGAAAAGAAAUCAACCGAGAUUCCCCCAGUAGCGGCGAGCGAACGGGGAGCAGCCCAGAGCCUGAAUCAGUGUGUGUGUUAGUGGAAGCGUCUGGAAAGGCGUGCGAUACAGGGUGACAGCCCCGUACACAAAAAUGCACAUGCUGUGAGCUCGAUGAGUAGGGCGGGACACGUGGUAUCCUGUCUGAAUAUGGGGGGACCAUCCUCCAAGGCUAAAUACUCCUGACUGACCGAUAGUGAACCAGUACCGUGAGGGAAAGGCGAAAAGAACCCCGGCGAGGGGAGUGAAAAAGAACCUGAAACCGUGUACGUACAAGCAGUGGGAGCACAGAGCAAUCUGUGUGACUGCGUACCUUUUGUAUAAUGGGUCAGCGACUUAUAUUCUGUAGCAAGGUUAACCGAAUAGGGGAGCCGAAGGGAAACCGAGUCUUAACUGGGCGUUAAGUUGCAGGGUAUAGACCCGAAACCCGGUGAUCUAGCCAUGGGCAGGUUGAAGGUUGGGUAACACUAACUGGAGGACCGAACCGACUAAUGUUGAAAAAUUAGCGGAUGACUUGUGGCUGGGGGUGAAAGGCCA